rnacentral:rRNA from 1 species
CCUACGGGAGGCAGCAGUGGGGAAUAUUGGACAAUGGGGGGAACCCUGAUCCAGCCAUGCCGCGUGUGUGAAGAAGGCCCUCGGGUUGUAAAGCACUUUCAGUGAGGAAGAACGCCUGGUGGUUAAUACCCAUCAGGAAAGACAUCACUCACAGAAGAAGCACCGGCUAACUCCGUGCCAGCAGCCGCGGUAAUACGGAGGGUGCGAGCGUUAAUCGGAAUUACUGGGCGUAAAGGGCGCGUAGGUGGCUUGAUAAGCCGGUUGUGAAAGCCCCGGGCUCAACCUGGGAACGGCAUCCGGAACUGUCAAGCUAGAGUGCAGGAGAGGAAGGUAGAAUUCCCGGUGUAGCGGUGAAAUGCGUAGAGAUCGGGAAGAAUACCAGUGGCGAAGGCGGCCUUCUGGACUGAAACUGACACUGAGGUGCGAAAGCGUGGGUAGCAAACAGGAUUAGAUACCCGGGUAGUC